rnacentral:tRNA from 1 species
ACAGUGGUUGUUCAGUGGUAGAACUCUUGUCUUCCAUCCAGGAGACCUGGGUUCGAUUCUUGGCCAAAGCA